AUGCCUGACUGGCAUGUGUUAGCUAUGAUGACGGAUGGAAAUGUUGGUCAAAAUGGACAGAGAACACACUUGACAGUCAGGCAUUCUAUAGUCAUGAGCCAGGUGUCCGACGCAUUGUCAAACGAAUGCACGGACGACAGGUCGUACGACCUGUUCGUGGAAGGAAUCGGUGAGGCAAUAAACAAAGUCAGGUUAGACAAGCGGCUCCGCCAAGAACAACAACUCUUAGGUGGGAAGCGACGGUGUAUUGAUGAUCCUCAGCAGCUGAAUGUUGAUGCCAGGCAGGAGGGGGAUGGCGACCUACACAUCCCUACUCAAGUGCAUCAAAACAUUAUGUCUACCAUCGGUGCGUCUAGCAUGGGUGGCGUUGAGGUGCAUAAAACAUUUGAUUUGAGAGACCCCCCGCUGUCAGGCACAGAAGGUUUCAACCUUGGUGAUAGGCCAAAGACCAUGUAUGAAAAGGUUUCUGAUAAGCUUAAGAAACAAAAAGCAGUAAGGAAGUGUUCCAAGUGCAGGCUGCCAGGCCAUAAAAAGCCACAAUGCCCCCGACAUAACGAGGCGCCGUGGGCUGGACCAGAGCUACGAGAUGCAUAG
rnacentral:rRNA from 1 species